rnacentral:lncRNA from 1 species
CAUAAUUGUUUAUCUUAAAAUAUUGCUCUCAAAAUAGCGGGUUGCUGUAAUAAACAGCCCUCCAACGCUAAUAGGUGAUCAGAGAUCCUCGACUAACGUGACAGUCCUAUCUUACCAAAUAAGUGUUUUAGAUCAGAUGUAAUAAGCCUAAUAAUCAAAUAUAAAUACUGAUAGAAAGGAGCUGUGUACUUAAUAAAUUAACAAAAUUUAACACAGGUAAACAGCCUUAACAAAGAGAGAUUUAAUUAGGCACAAAUAAUAUCAAUGCUGAAAAUGAUAAUACACUAAAACCCAGACUGUCACGUUGUCUCACUACACCGCUAUCAUCAUCGAGCACACAAAUCCGCCCACAACAGUGCAAUCACACCCAAGUAUUUAAUACUAGCAGAUUGCACAAAAUUAAACAGUAAAUAAAGUGAGGCAACGAAUAACUCACAGCACGUAGAUUGUCUACGUGGGAAGAUCAGCUCAGCGAACACGAAGUUCUGUCCCAGAAAACCAAUUCCGCCGCCCACGUCCGGGCCUGCACGGCGGGAGGUUGACGGAGAUACUAGAGCCGCUGCCGGAGCCGAGGGAGACGUCCACGGCACCAGCCCGAGAAGAUGAACACCGCGCAGCAGAGAGCCCAAGCACCAGGCCACGGUGGACAACAAUCAGAACAGACAGAGUACCAACAGGCACACUGAUAAUGCAACGGAGCACAGGAAGUCCACGCCGAACAAGCGCAGCACCACCUCCACACUCGUCCAGAUGCUACCAGCGAGAAUCACCACAAGAACACCAGAGAUCGAAGAAAUCAAUCGAGUUCGUGACCAGUGGAACGAGCAGGGAGAGAGAGCAGAGAACUUCCGUCGCUUGUGGAGCCGAAGCCAGAGGAUUUUUGCCUCCAUUAUAUGGAGCCGAGCACCCACCAGGCGGUUGCAAGGGAGCAGCGGCCCGCCGAGCGAGCAGCCGUAGAAGUCGGCUGGGCGUUGAACGCCUCCGCCUCCCACGUCCUCCCGGCGGCUGAUCUUUUUGCUCGCCCAAAAGCAAGAGCCGGCAUCAGCAGCCCUAGGGACUAGCUGGCUGGUGGGCUGCUCGGCCACCAGGCCUUGAGCGGCCCACUCGGCUGGCCUCCCUUUUUUUUAAUUUCAUUUCUCAUAUUUUCAAUAAAGAAAAUAAAGGGAAAAUCCCUUCAAAUGAACAGCAAUCCCCACCAUUUUCACUGUUAUUUUCUGAUCAAUGUCAUUGAGCUCCCGUACUGUUUAUAUACUACUUUUUGGCAGAGGUACUUGUUAGGUUUGAACCAAAGCCUAUCCCAGUGUACUCCAACCCUGCACGAGUAAGCGGAGGACUACGCCUUGAUCCACAAACCCUAGUGUGAGAAUCUUCGCACAAAAGGCACAUAGUACUAGGCAGAUUAUCUGCUUCUCUUACGGGGCAGGGCGUUACGGUCAUGCCCUUUAAUAUCUAUUCAUGAGCUCACUAGAGAGAAAACCCCAUUCUCUCCUGGACUGCGACCCCACAGUCAGCUCAUAUAGGUGAAAUCGUUAAGGAAAUUCUGUAGGACAAUUCCCUGCUUAUAGCAUUGACUUCAUUAAGAGCAUAUCGCUCAACCUGCCAUACAGACAGAGCACAGCAGCUCAUGAGACUCUUUAUCUUUUGUGCUCUUGGUUUCACAGUGCUUCGUUUCCUGGAGCCUGGAUCUCGGGACCUCCGGUCACACAGGACAGUUAUCCGCAGUUGAAACCGCUAACAGGGUACGAGUCCCAUUCCCAUACACGCUGCUUGGAUUGGCUUUUGAGCCAGCCCUUUGGUGAAAGGAUCAGCAAGGUUCCUUUCAGACUUGAUGUAAUCUACGGUUAUUACACCCGUCUCUCUAGCAUGCCGACAUGAAUCAAGUCGUCUUCUGAUAUGCCUCGAGGAUUUUUGGUUGUCCUUUCUACUGUUCACUUUCAGCAACACAGAAGUGUUGUCACAGCAUACUAGGACAGCCGGUAUCGGCUUUGCUAGCAUUGGAAGGUCUGACAAUAGGUCUCUCAACCAUUCAGCCUCCAAUGCUGCUGAAUCAAGUGCAACUAAUUCAGCCUCCUUGGUGGAACGUGUCGACACUGAUUGUUUAGACGAUCUCCAUGACACGACCCCACCAGCUAAAGUGAACACAUAGCCACUUGUAGACUUCAUUUGAUCCGAGUCAGAGAUCCAGUUUGCAUCACUGAAUCCUUCAAGUACUGACGGAAAUCCGGUAUAUUUAAUACCAAGAUUCAUCGCUCCCUUCAAAUACCGAAGCACUCUGUACAAGGCUACCCAGUGUCUAUCUCCUGGACUGGCCGAAUAACGAGCCAGUCUGCAUACUGCAUAUGAGAUAUCUGGUCUAGUUGCACUGCUCAGGUACAUGAGAGAUCCGAUGAUCUGCGAAUAUAGUAGCUGGUUCACAGGCUCGCCUUCAUAUUUACUGAGCGUGUAGGAUGGAUCGUAGGGCGUGGUGACUGGUUUACAGUCCAUAUGUCCAAAGCGAGUCAGGACCUUUUCCACAUAAUGGGAUUGUGACAAAGUAAUCCCAUCUUCGCCCUUUAUCAGCUUGAUGUUCAGUAUAACAUCAGCUUCACCCAAGUCCUUCAUAUCAAAGUUCUUGGAGAGGAAUAAUUUUGUCUCCAUGAUAGCCUCCAAAUCGGUCCCAAAUAUCAAUAUGUCAUCAACGUAUAAACACAUGAUGACACCUUUGCCCCCAGAGAAGCGAUAAUACACACACUUGUCGGCUUCGUUUACACAAAACCCGGCAGUGGUCAGAGUAUUAUUAAACUUCUCAUGCCAUUGUCUGGGAGCUUGCUUAAGACCGUAUAAGGAUUUAAUCAAGCGACACACUUUGCUCUCUUGUCCUUUAACCACAAAUCCUUCUGGUUGCUGCAUAUAAAUUUCCUCUUCCAGCUCUCCAUUUAGGAAUGCUGUCUUUACAUCCAUUUGAUGGACAAGAAGUUUAUAAGCAGCUGCCAGUGCUAAAAGCACACGGAUUGUGGGCAAUCGAGCCACCGGAGAAUAAGUAUCAAAAUAAUCCUCCUCUUUCUUUUGAGUAAAACCCUUAGCCACAAGACGGGCCUUGUACUUUUCAAUAGUACCAUCGGGUCUCCUCUUCCUCCUAAAGAUCCAUUUACAGCCCACAGGCUUGCAACCAGCUGGGAGAUCAGUUAUCUCCCAAGUUCCGUUCGAGAUGAUUGAAUCCAUCUCGCUACGGACAGCCUCCCUCCAGUACUCUGCAUCCGGAGAUGUAUAUGCCUCUGUGAGGGAGCGUGGUUCUUCAUCCACUAGAUAGAUAAUAUAAUCAUCACCCAGAGACUUUUCAGUCCUUUGUCUCUUACUCCUCCUUAACUCCAAAUCUGGAGUCUGGUCAUGGACACUCGAGGGCAGAGAAUAUGUCCGAGAUGGACCAUCUGGGGCUACUACUUCCUUAUCCCGCAUAGGGAAGAUGCUCUCAAAGAAUGUCACAUCCCGAGACUCCAUUAUUACAUUUACAGCGAUUUCGCUUGUCUCGGAAUGGACCACUAGAAAUCUAUAAGCUGCACUGUUAUGUGCAUAACCCAGGAAGACACAGUCUACGGUCUUAGGGCCUAACUUUCUCUUCUUCGGCAACGGGACAUUCACCUUUGCAAGGCAACCCCACGUCCGAAGAUGCGAAAGAUCUGGCUUCCUUCCUUUAAAUCCUUCAUAGGGUGUGGCCUCACGGUUGCGAGGCGGCACCCUGUUCAGGACAUAGCAUACUGUGAGUACUGCCUCGCCCCACCAUAUGUCAGGCAUCCCCGAACUUUGCAACAAAGCAUUAGCUAAGUCACACACCGUUCAGUUCUUCCUUUCAGCUACCCCAUUUGACUGAGGUGAAUAUGGAGCAGUGGUUUCAUGAAUGAUUCCACACUCUUUGCAGUACUCAUCAAAAAGGUUGGAAAGGUAUUCACCUCCUCUAUCAGACCGUAACCUUUUAAUUUUCUUGUCUAGCUGAUUUUCAACUUCAGUCUUAUAGAUCUUAAAGUGUUCUAGUGCCUCAUCUUUAGUUCUGAGUAAGUAAAUAUAACAGAACCUGGUAGCAUCAUCUAUCAAGGUAAGAAAGUAUCUUUUACCGCCUUUUGUGAUUAUACCAUUCAUCUCACAGAUAUCUGAGUGAAUUAGUUCUAAAGGAGUGGUACUUCUGCCUUCAACCGUAUGAAACGGUUUUCUAGGCUGCUUGGCUUGCACACAAAUACCACAUUUUACACCUUUAACAUGUUUAUAUUCAGGAAUUAAAGACAUGUCACUUAAUCUCUUAAUGGCCUCAAAAUUCACAUGACACAAACGGGAAUGCCAUAUAUUAUUAAUGGAAUCGUUAUUACAGACCACAUUAACAUGGUAAGAAGAAUGAUUGUUCAAAACAGAAAGACGGAACAAACCGCCUGACUCAUAUGACUUUCCAACAAAAGUACCAAACUUAGACAGGACCACUUUAUUAGACUCAAACACUAAUUUGAGACCCUGUCGACAUAACAGCGACACUGAAAUGAGGUUCCGGCUCAUCGAGGGCACAUAGAGUACGUCCUUCAGCACGAGCGUCUUUCCUGAAGUUAACUUCAGGUAGACCUGUCCAGUACCUCGAACUGCUGCCGGAACACCAUUUCCCAUCAAGACUGGUGCGCUGUUGAAUCCCUGGAAUGAAGAGAACAUGGAUCGAUCAGCACAAAUAUGAACAGUAGCACCGGAAUCCAUCCACCAGUCAUCUGAUGGACUUGCCAUAAAGGCCUGAAGUGCAUACCCUGGGGUGGAGUUAACCACCACGUUCCCUUCUUUGCGCUGAGGUGGAGGACCUUUUCCCUUCCUAAGUUUGCACCUCCGAGCUGUAUGCCCGGAGACACCACAAACGUAGCAGAUAAAGUCCUCCUUUUUCUUCUUCAUCUUUUUGGACUUAGGUUGGUUCAUAUUCUUCUGUGGAGAGUUCUUCUUCUUCUUCUGGAAUUUUCUAUCUCCACCCUUCUCAACAACGUGAGCCUGGAGUUGCUGGGAUGGCUUGUUACUGGACCUUGCACGCUCUUCCACAUUAAUCGCAGCUGACAACUCAGUGAGAGUCAUUUGCUUCUUCAUGUGGCGGCGUGAAGUCACAAAGUCUCGCCAAGAAGGCGGGAGCUUUGCCAGUAUUGCAUUCACCUGAAAACUGUCUGGUAGGACGCAGCCAUAUUGGACCAAGUCCCUAACAAGGAGUUGAAUCUCCUGUAGCUGCUCCAUAACAGACCUUCCCUCAACCAUUUUAUAGUUGAGGUAGUUUUCCGUUGUGAAUGACUCAUUGCCAUUGUCAACUUCAGAGAACUCGUUCUCAAGAUCAGUCCAUAGACCCUUAGCGGAGGUAAAAGCAGAGUAUACGUCAAAUAAGCGGUUCGACAAAACGUUCAGCAGACGAGACAAGCAUGCCUCAUUGGCUUCGUCCCACUUGGCCUUCUCCGCUAGUGCGGUGGCCUUCGCUGCAUCAUCAGAAUCAUCUGAUGUAGCCUGGGGAACAGCCGACGUCACUACCCAAAAUAAUUUUAGGUCAGUGAGCCACAUGCGAGUCUUAAUCUGCCAGCGCUUAAAGCUAGCGCCGUCGAACGCUUCAGGCUUAAUGACAUCAGAACUGGAGGCCAUAAUACGGAUUGGUUUUCUGGAUUGUUGUAAAUUUAGAGAAAUAAGUGACAUGCUUUCUACAUAUUUAAAUAGAUUAAAUAUUCUAAUUCCGAAUAAAACAAGUAUAUAACUCAGACAAAUGCCAUAUGUAAUUAUAGCAGCAAUGAACAGUAGCAAUUCUAAGACAUGUAAACAUGUAAAAUAGCUACACAGGUCCAUUUGGAAAUUAAACAUGGCUUGCAGAUGAAGAAGGCAGAUUAAACAAAUAAACAUAAUUGUUUAUCUUAAAAUAUUGCUCUCAAAAUAGCGGGUUGCUGUAAUAAAUAGCCCUCCAACGCUAAUAGGUGAUCAGAGAUCCUCGACUAACGUGACAGUCCUAUCUUACCAAAUAAGGGUUUUAGAUCAGAUGUAAUAAGCCUAAUAAUCAAAUAUAAAUACUGAUAGAAAGGAGUUGUGUACUUAAUAAAUUAACAAAAUU